rnacentral:rRNA from 1 species
AAACUUAAAGGAAUUGACGGGGCCCGGCACGAAGCGGUGGAGCAUUGUGGUUUAAUUUCGAAGCAACGCGAAGAACCUUACCAGGUCUUGACAUCCCGAUGCUAUUUCUAGGGAUAGAAAGUUACUUUGGUACAUCGGUGACAGGUGGUGCAUGGUUGUCGUCAGCUCGUGUCGUGAGAUGUUGGGUUAAGUCCCGCAACGAGCGCAACCCCUAUUGUUAGUUGCCAUCAUUCAGUUGGGCACUCUAGCGAGACUGCCGGUAAUAAACCGGAGGAAGGUGGGGAUGACGUCAAAUCAUCAUGCCCCUUAUGACCUGGGCUACACACGUGCUACAAUGGUUGGUACAACGAGUCGCGAGUCGGUGACGGCGAGCUAAUCUCUUAAAGCCAAUCUCAGUUCGGAUUGUAGGCUGCAACUCGCCUACAUGAAGUCGGAAUCGCUAGUAAUCGCGGAUCAGCACGCCGCGGUGAAUACGUUCCCGGGCCUU